UACCCAGAAACGCCCUCGCCGUGCGACCGCACCCAGUGUUGACCAAUGAGAGCCCAGGAUAGGGACCAAUGAUAACCUAGGGGAGGGGCGUUUCCGGAACGGCCGCGCCGGUGGGGGCGGGACUUCUGGGGUCGGACCAUUGCUUCAUUGUACUGCCUUUAUGUCGGCACUUCGUGGAGGGACGUAGUUGCUGGGCUGUGGACAGCAUCCAGGAGGCUCCCCGCCCGCGGAAACGGGAGUAGGGUAGGUACGAGAACCUGGGAGGUCCAGCCGCUGUGCCUUGUACGCCCCAUGACCGCAGCGAACGUCCCGCCUCCCCGAGCUCGUGUGUCCUCGGCUGUCGGGGGACCGCCUGGCGCCGGGGUGCCUUGCGGUUAUCUCCGUCAAGGCCCGUCUGUGUCCGUGGCCGCCCCGGAGUCGUCGCCCUGUACGUUGUGUCCGCUUUACGGAGAAGAAGACCCAGGCUCAAAAGCCAGCCAUUCUGAGGUCUUGACCCAGCAUGUAGCUGGACUGCAGGCGUGAUAAGCGAGCCGAUCGACUAGGCACGGAUGAGGUAGAGUCUCCUGACCUCCACCUGGCUGGACUCCGAACCCCAGUGCCCCAAGUCCCUGACUCAGCCUCAGGCCUGGGUGUUCAGGACAGUGGAACGUUGACAGCCCGAGGAAGCCCGUGAACACCUGAGUCAGAUCACCUCCCUCUUCUGCUCCAAACCUUCCGUGGCUCCCACCACCCUCAGGCACAGAAAGACGGCUUCAUCUUCAGCUGGUGGCCACCCUGAGACGUGCCUGGGAUGAGGGACCUGCUUCCUUAUUCUCUCAGACCACUGUACCCCUGAGAUCAUCCACUUCCGCCUCAGGGGACACGGGUUCGAGCCCUGGUCUGGGAAGAUCCCAC